rnacentral:rRNA from 1 species
UACAGAGGGUGCAAGCGUUAAUCGGAAUUACUGGGCGUAAAGCGUGCGUAGACGGUUAUGUAAGUCGGGUGUGAAAGCCCCGGGCUCAACCUGGGAAUGCCAUUCGAGACUGCAUAGCUAGGGUGCGGAAGAGGGAAGCGGAAUUUCCGGUGUAGCGGUGAAAUGCGUAGAGAUCGGAAAGAACACCAACGGCGAAAGCACUCUGCUGGGCCGACACUGACACUGAGAGACGAAAGCUAGGGGAGCGAAUGGG